AUGACAGCAGCGGAAGCGCUCCGGAGCGGAAGCUACGUCAGCGAGCGGGUGCGGAAGCGGAAGUGCUGGCUCCCACGCCAGCAGCAUCCUACUAAAAAAGAUCUCCUAAAUCCUCAAACGCUCUGUGCUUUACAAAGCCCUGAAAUAGGUCUCUGUUCAACCAGCUGCACCAGGCACAGGCACAGCCUGAUCAAGACUAUUCAACCCCCCUUCUUUAAAUUCAACAACAGUCUGGGUGUCUCUGCCCUUUCGAAGCAGUGAAUUCUGCUGGCUCGGAGGAGGAAGAAAUUCUUCUCUUGUCCAAACGACUGCUUAUUCUUUUGACAUAGGAUAAUGCAGAAAGGAAGGGCUGACAUUUUUGUUAUUAGAUCUGUUUGGGGAGGAUACAGAAUCUCUUCUCAGAAUGGCACCCUGGCUGUGCUAGGCACUGUAUGUACACAGAAGUGAGGACAAGUCUCUGCCUUGAAAAUCUCACCCUUUUCAAAACCAAAACCACAAAAGAUGCAGGGGGAAAAAUGGUUCUGUAAAUAAACAAGAUGAUUAUAA